AACAUAACCUGUUAACUGUUGCUGAUCAAAUGGUGAAUAAGAUACUCUUUUGGGUUCAUGUAUUUGCAGAUCUGACUCUGAAAGAGUCAGUGCCUCACCAGCCAUGAAGCUUGUACUUUCAAA